GGCUUGUUAGCUCAGUUGGUAGAGUACUGCACUGGCAUUACAGAGGUCAUGGGUUCGGAUCCCGUACAGGACU